rnacentral:tRNA from 1 species
GCCGGGGUGGCAGAGUGGUUAAUGCGCUGGCCUUCCUAGCCAGUGGGCCUCCGGCCCGCAGGGGUUCAAAUCCCCUCCCCGGCG